ACGUAGGGGGCUAGCGUUAUCCGGAUUUACUGGGCGUAAAGGGUGCGUAGGCGGUCCUUCAAGUCAGGAGUCAAAGGCUACGGCUCAACCGUAGUAAGCUCCUGAUACUGUGGGACUUGAGUGCAGGAGAGGAAAGCGGAAUUCCUAGUGUAGCGGUGAAAUGCGUAGAUAUUAGGAGGAACACCAGUAGCGAAGGCGGCUUUCUGGACUGUAACUGACGCUGAGGCACGAAAGCGUGGGGAGCAAACAGG
rnacentral:rRNA from 1 species